rnacentral:rRNA from 1 species
GAUGAACGCUGGCGGCGCGCCUAAUACAUGCAAGUCGAGCGAAUGGAUUAAGAGCUUGCUCUUAUGAAGUUAGCGGCGGACGGGUGAGUAACACGUGGGUAACCUGCCCAUAAGACUGGGAUAACUCCGGGAAACCGGGGCUAAUACCGGAUAACAUUUUGAACCGCAUGGUUCGAAAUUGAAAGGCGGCUGCGGCAGUCACUUAUGGACGGACCCGACUCGCAUUAGCUAGUUGGUGAGGUAACGGCUCACCAAGGCAACGAUGCGUAGCCGACCUGAGAGGGUGAUCGGCCACACUGGGACUGAGACACGGCCCAGACUCCUACGGGAGGCAGCAGUAGGGAAUCUUCCGCAAUGGACGAAAGUCUGACGGAGCAACGCCGCGUGAGUGAUGAAGGCUUUCGGGUCGUAAAACUCUGUUGUUAGGGAAGAACAAGUGCUAGUUGAAUAAGCUGGCACCUUGACGGUACCUAACCAGAAAGCCACGGCUAACUACGUGCCAGCAGCCGCCGCGG